GAUGAAGAACGCAGCGAAAUGCGAUAAGUAGUGUGAAUUGCAGAAUUCAGUGAAUCAUCGAAUCUUUGAACGCACAUUGCGGCCAUAGGUAUUCCUUUGGCCAUGCCUGUUCGAGCGUCAUUUACACCCUCAAGCCUAGCUUGGUGUUGGGCGCCAGUCCCGCCGUUUUCGCGCGCGGACUCGCCUCAAAGUCAUUGGCGGCGGUCGUGCCGGCCCCCUCGCGCAGCACAUUUGCGCUUCUCGGAGGCCCGGCGGAUCCGCGCUCCAGCAAGACCUUUCACGACUUGACCUCGGAUCAGGUAGGGAUACCCGCUGAACUUAAGCAUAUCAAUAAGCGGAGGA
rnacentral:misc_RNA from 1 species